rnacentral:rRNA from 1 species
UACAGAGGGUGCAAGCGUUGUUCGGAAUUAUUGGGCGUAAAGCGCGUGUAGGCGGCUUUGCAAGUCGGGUGUGAAAUCCCUCAGCUCAACUGAGGAAGUGCGCCCGAAACUGCAGAGCUUGAGUACCGGAGAGGGUGGCGGAAUUCCCCAAGUAGAGGUGAAAUUCGUAGAUAUGGGGAGGAACACCGGUGGCGAAGGCGGCCAUCUGGACGGAUACUGACGCUGAGGCGCGAAAGCUAGGGGAGCAAACAGG